rnacentral:tRNA from 1 species
GCACCUGUAGCUCAGUUGGUAGAGCGCUUGACUAGUAAUCAAGAGGUUCCUCGGUUCAAGUCCGAGUAGGUGCA